GCCCUAAAUCAAGCCUAUAAACCCAUUCUAUAUAUUAAUAUACUUAUUAAUUUUUAAACAAAACAUUUUUAUAUUCUAGUAGAGGUGAUCAAAAAACUUAUAAGCGCUUUAUAAAAAGUACCGCAAGGGAGAGAUGAAAUAGAUUUGAAAUAGCCCUAAAGCACAACACAGCAGAGAUUAUACCUCGUACCUUUUGCAUCAUGGUUUAGCCAGUCACUAUCAAGCAAAGCGAGACAUCAGUUUGACCCCCCGAAACUAAGCGAGCUACUUUAGAACAGCUUCAUGGAGCUAACCCGUCUCUGUCGCAAAAGAGUGGGAAGAUUUUUAAGUAGAGGUGAAAAGCCUACCGAGCUUAGAGAUAGCUGGUUAUUCAGGAAAAGAAUUUUAGUUCUACCUUAAGUUUUUUUAUGUUUUUUAACAGUCCACGAAACUUAAGAGCUAUUCAAAUAAGGCACAGCUUAUUUGAAAAAGGGAACAACCUACAAUAAAGGGUAAAAUAUAUUAAUUUUUUUACUAAGUGGGCCUAAAAGCAGCCACCUUUAAAAAAGCGUUAAAGCUAUAUUUUUCAACUAUUAUACAAUGCCUUAAUAUACUUUAAACCCUUCAUCUGUACUGAAUGAUCCCAUACUCUUAUGGGAGCCACUAUGCUAAAACUAGUAACAAGAAAUUGAAUUUCUCAAAAUGCAAGCAUAAACCAACACGGACUUACCAUUGGUAAUUAACGCAAAUGAACCUACUAUAGUAACAUAGCCAGAAAAAUCUAUUAACCCCCCCACGUUAACCUUACACAAGAGCAUUACCGGAAAGAUUAAAAGAAAGAGAAGGAACUCGGCAAACCUUAACCCCGCCUGUUUACCAAAAACAUCGCCUCUUGAUAAGUUAUAAAAGGUCCAGCCUGCCCAGUGACUUAAUUAAACGGCCGCGGUAUUCUGACCGUGCGAAGGUAGCAUAAUCACUUGUUCUUUAAAUAAGGACUAGUAUCAACGGCAUCACGAGGGUUAUACUGUCUCCUCUCUCCAAUCAGUGAAACUGAUCUCCCCGUGAAGAAGCGGGGAUAGUUCUAUAAGACGAGAAGACCCCAUGGAGCUUUAAACUCAACAACAACCUCCCCCACAAAAUUCUGUAUAGCCACGGAAGUCCUGUUUGUUAGUUUUGGGUUGGGGUGACCGCGGAGAAAAACUAAACCUCCACGACGAACGGAAUUAACUCCUAAUCUAAGAGCCACCGCUCUAAGAAUCAAUAAAUUGACAUAAAAUGAUCCGAUAAUCGAUCAACGGACCAAGUUACCCUGGGGAUAACAGCGCAAUCCAUUUCAAGAGCUCCUAUCGACAAAUGGGUUUACGACCUCGAUGUUGGAUCAGGGUAUCCCAGUGGUGCAGCCGCUACUAAAGGUUUGUUUGUUCAACAAUUAAAACCCUACGUGAUCUGAGUUCAGACCGGAGUAAUCCAGGUCGGUUUCUAUCUAUAAAGUGGUACUCUUAGUACGAAAGGAUUAGAGUAACGCGGCCAAUAUACUCAACAAGCCGCAACCCCCAAUUAAUGAAUAAAUCUUAAUUAACAAGGGCCUACCAAUAUAUCUUAGACCAAGAUA
rnacentral:rRNA from 1 species